rnacentral:rRNA from 1 species
CAGGGGGGACCACCCUCCAAGGCAAAACACAGAUAUCGACCGAUAGCGCAUAGUACCAUGAGGGAAAGGUGAAAAGCACCCCGGGAGGGGAAUGAAAGAGAACCUGAAACCGUAUGUUUACAAGCAGUCGGAGACCGCUUAAUAAUAAGGUCGACGGCGUGCCUAUUGAAGAAUGAACCGGCGAGUUACGAAGCCUGGCAAGGUUAAGCAGGAAAUGCGGAGCCGAAGCGAAAGCGAGUCUUAAGAGGGCGCAAGUCAGGAAGCGUAGACCCGAAACCACAGUGAUCUACCCAUGUCCAGGUUGAAACACAGGUAAAAAUGUGUGGAGGACCGAACCUAUAUCCGUUGAAAAGGGUUAGGAUGAGGUGUGGGUAGGGGUGAAAUUCCAAUCGAACGUGGAGAUAGCUGGUUCUCCCCGAAAUAGCUUUAGGGCUAGCCUCAGGGAAAAGAUUGCAGGCGGUAGAGCACUGAUCAGGAGAGGGACCUACCCGGUUACCAAACCCAGUCAAACUCCGAAUGGCUGUAAUCAUACCUGGGAGUCAGACUACGACUUAUAAGGGCCGUGGUCAAAAGGGAAACAGCCCAGACCAUCAGCUAAGGUCCCCAAUGCCGUGCUAAGUGGCAAAGGAUGUGGCAUUUCAUAAACAACCAGGAUGUUGGCUCAGAAGCAGCCACCAUUUAAAGAGUGCGUAAUAGCUCACUGGUCGAGAGACGCUGCGCCGAAAAUGUCCGGGGCUCAAGCACGGAACCGAAGCUAUGGCAUGAUAGCAAUAUCAUGGGUAGGGGAGCGUUCUUAUAAGGAAGAAGCAUGACCGGAAGGACAUGUGGACGAAUAAGAAGUGAGAAUGCCGGUAUGAGUAUCGAAAAGAAAGGUGAGAAUCCUUUCCACCGAAAGCCCGAGGGUUCCUGAGCAACGAUCGUCGACUCAGGGUAAGUCGGGACCUAAGCCGAGGCGAGAAGCGUAGGCGAUGGACAACAGGUUGAAAUUCCUGUACCGGAUCAAGUCGAUCGAGCGAAGGAGCGACGCAGGAGGGCACAUGAUCGCGCGGCUGGAAGAGCGCGUCCAAGUGCGUAUGUUGCAGCAGAGGAAAACCCCUGCGGCUGAAAGCAGAGACAUGAUGGGGAGUUAAAGGAAACUUUGACGAACUCAUGAAUCCCACACUGCCAAGAAAAACUUCUAGCGAGACAAGAUCCGCCCGUACCGUAAACCGACACAGGUAGGCGGGGAGAGAAUCCUAAGGUGCGCGGGAAAACCCUCGUUAAGGAACUCGGCAAAUUGCAUCCGUAACUUCGGGAGAAGGAUGGCCCCCGGUCAGUGAAGAGCAGAAACGCUCAGAGCUAAAAGGGGCGGCAGAAAAGAGGCCCAAGCAACUGUUUACCAAAAACACAGGUGCCUGCGAAAGCGAAAGCUGAAGUAUAGGUGCUGACGCCUGCCCGGUGCCGGAAGGUUAAGGAGAGAGGUUAGCGAAAGCGAAGCUUUGAACUGAAGCCCCGGUGAACGGCGGCCGUAACUAUAACGGUCCUAAGGUAGCGAAAUUCCUUGUCGGGUAAG